rnacentral:lncRNA from 1 species
GAAAGGUUUGGGGUUGCAAAGUUUGUACCUUCAAUAAUACUUUCAUGGCAAUGAAGCUAUGCUCAUGACUGUUAAUAACAUAACUUUGCUCUCUUAAUUGUCUAAACAAUCUUUGCUUUUAGCCGUCACUAGAUUUAAAAAACAUGCAACAUUAAGAAAAUCAAGCAUUGACCCUAAAUCUUUGCUUUUAUUCUAAACACGUACUCGUAUUUAUCAUUCAUGUCCAAAUUCGAAUAACAUAAGUUUAGAGUGAAAGAGGAAUGAAAGAAGGUAUAGUGAAAGCACUGAAAAUAAAAGUAGUUGGGAUACCACAUGUAACAGGCUUAUUUUGCCCGGCCCGAGCCUAAAUCACCAAAAACCAAAAUUCAAAUAAAAAAUUAAGUGGUCCAAUCACAAGUCCAUUUACAAGGCCCGAAUAUUCUAUGGCUCAAAAACUAAAACACCAGCCUUAGCCCAAAUUUAUCAGAAAGAAAGAAACCCUAGGGUUUCUAUACCAGUAGUGUGCGCCGCUCCCCACGUGCCUGGUCAGCACGUCCGACGCUCGAGGCUCAACCACCCUCUGACCCGUCCCAUCUCCUGCACAUCCAGAGACUGGUAAAAGAAGGCAAAAAGAAGAAUAAAUAACAGCAGACAACACAGAGCAAGGGGAGCAACAUUUUCUUAAUAUUGUAAUCGGCUAUAAAGCCGAAAGGCAAUCACUUUGUAAAAGGGGGGUUUUUGGAUACAAAAAAAGGUUGUAUCACACAAACAUAUUUUCAGAGAAAUCAAAAGCAGAAAACGAUCUUAAAAGGUGUUUGCUCUUAUUUUUUAUUUUUGAUUUUUUUUCUAUUUUGUUUUUGUUUUAUUUAUUUUAUAAAUCUUUUUAACAAAAUGCUUGAAAUAAAUAAAAAGGGAGGGAAAGGGAACUCACCAUAAUCGCGUCACCGGAAUGCCUCCCUAUCUCGAUUUCCUAGGCCUUUAAGGCUUGGCCUUCAAACGCGGCUUAAUCAGAGGCUGAAAAGCCAUUUGAUGUUGCCCCGACCACCGUCCGUGGUGGAGGAUCGAAGGGCUAACAGCGGCACUAAGAGGGUUUGAAACCCUAGCAGAGGAAAAGGAGAAAGUUUUUGAAACUUUCUUUAAAAAAUCGGCUGGAAAUGAAGCAUGAAUUUUUUUUUGGGUUUUAAUAAUAAGAAGAAAACGGUGAGGUUUUACACCCAAUGCCCUAGCGCCGAAACGGCGUUGUUUAGGGUAGAUCCGCGCGCGACUCGACCCACUUCAGGGGGAUCUGCGCGUUUUGCUCUGUUGGGAUAUUUAUCCCUUUAAUCCCCUGCUUUGUACAUUUGUUCCAAUUUUGUCAUGUUUUCUUUUCUUUUAUCUUCUAAAAUUCUCCCUGCUUAAUUUUAAAAGUUUUAUUUUGGUCCUUUUUAAAUGAUGUGUGUAGUAGGCCAAAUUUGCCCGACCCAUAUAAAAACAAAAAAACAAACCAAAAAUAAAAUAAACAAAUAAAAAACCACAGUCCAUUACAGUCCAAUUACAAAAAAACCAAGCCCAAAUUAAUGUUAAACCUAGACCCAACCCCAAAAGUACACCAGCCCAAAUGGCCCAAAAUUUUUAGAACGAACAGAACCCUAGGGUUCUCUCUCUCGCGCCGCAGCCAAGCCCCAGCCUUGGCCUCCGUACCCUCCAGCAGCCACGCACGCGCGCCUCCGUACUCCAGCCUAGACCCGUACCCGAGCACCAACGCACAGCCCCGUGCUCCGUACCUGCAAAAGAAAACAAACAAAAGCAGCAACAAGCCAAUACAAAAGCAAAGGACAAAAAUUGUUGUUUUCUUUAGUUAUUCGGCUAUAAAGCCUUUGAUUUUCGAUUGUAAAAAGGAGACUACGAACAGAUUACACAAAAAAAGAGGAAUCAAAUACAAAGAAGUUGAAUAUUCUGUAAAGGUUGUUCCCUGUUUUCAUUUUUACACCUCUAUUUUCUUUUUAUUUUGAAAUCUAUCUCAAAAACAAAAAAAGAAAGCAAAAGAGAGGUUUACCUUACGAGUUGGCUGUCGGUUCCCCUUCAUUUCGUCGAAGUCGGGGUUUAGAAGGGAUCCCACAGCCGAAAUGGUCAUCCUUUGAAGCCCGGGGCUGUUCGUCUCUGCUGAUAGACGCAGAUCGGCGCUAAAGGGGGAGUUCUAAGGUCAGACGAGAGGGGUAAGAGGGGCUAGGGUUUGUUUGGCCGAAUGAUUCAGCUUUAGGUCCUUUUAAAGGAUCAAAUAUGACGCCGUUUUAAGCCCGUUUCAAUGGCUCAGAAACGACGUCGUCUAAUCGCGCCCGACCCGAUCGAGUUUGCUGCCCUGAUGACCCGCGUGUUUUUGCGGUGAGGGCAUAUUUCCAAAAUCGGCCCCUCCCCUUUCGCACCACAUUUCAAUCAGUUCGCACUCAUGCUUCAGGAUUUUUUUUAUUACCCCUGCGAUUUGUGCGCGUUUGCACUCUAGUCCACCGUACAGUGUCGCGUUUUGGGCAUCUAGAAUAUUUCCAGCUAUAGUCCUUACAUACUUGCGCGGAAUUUUCGAUUUUUUAUUUAUAAACUAUUCAUCUUAUUUUAAUUCAUUUUUAUUUUAGUUUUCUAUUUGUAUAACUUACCUUUUAAACAUAUUUAAUAUUUCUAUAUCGAUC